CUUACAUGAGUUUUUUGGCAUUCUGUCCACCUCCUUCAUUCACUCUAGUUUGUGUAUCUUUAGAUAUAUCUCUAUCUGAUCUAUGUAGUUUUACAAGAUUUUACAUCUACAUAUCAAGAUUCAUACACAAUUAUGUUUCCUAGCUAGAAACGACACUUGAGUUGAGUCUAAUCUGGUAAGUAAAUAAACAGACAUAGAGGAGUUUUCAGAUGGAGGUGGGCAUACUGCCAACAGAGCUGUGCAAG
rnacentral:pre_miRNA from 1 species